rnacentral:lncRNA from 1 species
AUUAAUCAACACAAAUUAAUCAAAGGUUUGUCUCUGUAGAACUAACCCAUAUGACUUGUCCAUUAUUUGAACUAUUUCCUGAAGAGGACUCCUUCUCUAUGACCUUCAACAAAGUCGGAAGUCCACUCUCUCCAACCGUUUCAAGAACAGUAAAUCUACCCAAGGUCAAACCAGCAGGUAACCCUCUCUUUUCAGCAUAAUCUUUCAACAUGUUAACUGCUCUCUCCAUAGGAUUCUGAGCAAUACCGUGAAAUUUCACGGACCCUGUGACAUGAAUAGUCACAGAUUUUGGCCUCUCUGAUCCCAUUUUCUUGUUCGAAAUACGGAAGGAUUUCUUAAUACUUGAUAGCUUCCACUAUCAAUUACCUGUUCACACCAUUUACAACAGCCUCUUUAAACUUGACCAACCAUUUCAACACGCAUUAGUACAUUAGUAAAAAUUGACCAAAGCAAUUAAUAACGAGUCGUCCCAUGCAUAUUACCUCUUGAAUUUGGAUAAACAAUCAAAAUGAGCAAAGCAACAUCACAACAUUUCAAGUCAAAACACCAAGAAAACGUUAAGAAACAUUCUCAGUGCUUAUACAACAAUUGACCAAAGACAAAACUGAUUAAACAUAUAUUCACCUUUUUACUCUUUUCCCCCUUAUACAACAAUGGUCACAAAUAUCUUACAUGAUAAAACAGUUAAUUCACAAGUACCUCUCACGAUGAAAAGUUUAAAAUGAUUCAAAUUAACUGAUGGUUAAGUUCUUGGCUUGCAUAAAAUUAUAUAUUAACCUUGUACUAGAUGGUACUUUUACAUAACCUUCUCCAACAAAAAAAUGGGUAGAGCACACAAUCAGUGAAGGAGAUUACCUCCACACAGAACGUCCUUUCAACCAAGAAUGGGUCUGAGAAGAGACAGACCUAGAACGAGAUCUUGUACGCUUUGGCGAUUUAGCUUUAGGAUAUUUGCUGCUAGGAAAGAGAAUAGCAAUGAUAUCCAUGGAAUUAGUUGAGGUGCGCAACAGCUGGUUCAGACACUACGGUAUAAAAGAAACACUUAGAAGAUAUUGUCAUGCGAUUUGUAAAGUUCAAUGACCAACUAACAGACAUAUUUACCAAAUCUCUAGAAGGUUCUCGAGAUAGUUAUAUAUAUAACAAGCUCAGCAUAUAUAAUGUGAAUGCACCGGCUUGAAGCAGAGCAUCAGAUAUGCUAGUACUAAAACUGUAAAUAUUAAUUUUCCACAGUGGACAAGUAUGAAAAAACUUAUUAUAAUCCGAAAGAUAUAAAUAGAUAGAAUCGUAAGGCAUAAAAGCUGCCUACUCCCAUAAACUUUCUCCCCAGUUUUAAUUGCUCAAUUUUCGAUCAAUAGGAGGCCACAACUAAUAGGCUUUAUGAAAGACUUAAUGAUAUAGCUGCAAGGAACCCGAGUUAGUAUUCAUUGGCAAAUGAAGAUUUAUAACACAAAUACCACUAAAACUACAGAGACGAGAGGGCAAUGUUUGACUAAACAUUUUCCUGAACAAAAGGGCAAAGAAAUAACCAAAAGUAACCAGAUGCAACUUCUACCUAGAAUGCAAGUUCGACAAAAUCUCUCUGUACGGAAGCAAGUGAAAAUACUCAACAGCUGGAGCAACCAACCAUCCAAUUGGCUUUUUCUUGAUUAAAGGACCCUGCAAACUACUCCAAAAAGCAGAUUCAGGGGAAAAUCGCCCAUCUUCGGCAUUGGAUCAAUAUUUUAUAGUACUGAAAAAAAUUUAAAACAAUAUUUCAUUUAUGCAAUGCAAAAUGCAGCAUUUCUAACAGAUCAUGUAAUUAAUAGCUAAGGAGAGAUCAGUUCCUUACAAAUUUCAC